rnacentral:rRNA from 1 species
AUUGAACGCUGGCGGCAUGCCUUACACAUGCAAGUCGAGCGGCAGCGCGUCCGACCACCCUCGGGUGGUCGGAUGGCGGCGAGCGGCGGACGGGUGAGGAAUGCAUCGGAAUCUGCCUCGUUGUGGGGGAUAACGUAGGGAAACUUACGCUAAUACCGCAUACGACCUACGGGUGAAAGUGGGGGACCUUCGGGCCUCACGCGAUGAGAUGAGCCGAUGCCGGAUUAGCUAGUUGGCGGGGUAAAGGCCCACCAAGGCGACGAUCCGUAGCUGGUCUGAGAGGAUGAUCAGCCACACUGGAACUGAGACACGGUCCAGACUCCUACGGGAGGCAGCAGUGGGGAAUAUUGGACAAUGGGGGCAACCCUGAUCCAGCCAUGCCGCGUGUGUGAAGAAGGCCUUCGGGUUGUAAAGCACUUUUGUUGGGGAAGAAACCGGCCGGGUUAAUACCCUGGUUGAAUGACGGUACCCAAAGAAUAAGCACCGGCUAACUUCGUGCCAGCAGCCGCGGUAAUACGAAGGGUGCAAGCGUUACUCGGAAUUACUGGGCGUAAAGCGUGCGUAGGCGGUUUGUUAAGUCUGCUGUGAAAGCCCUGGGCUCAACCUGGGAACUGCAGUGGAUACUGGCGAGCUAGAGUGUGUCAGAGGAUGGUGGAAUUCCC